rnacentral:lncRNA from 1 species
UUCCUAGAAUCAUAUUAAAGCUUUGUUGGUUGCCUUAGUUAGCAGUGAAAUCAGGUUACUGAGUUUUUCAUUUUGACAGAAAGGGUCUAAGAUGUAAGGUAAGCUAUAAUGGUUAUGCACUAAGGGCUGACAGCAAGGGAAUAUCCUUUGUUUCCUUGGAAACAUGUUUAAAUUCUAGUAGAACUUGGAAAAUCAUUUUCUGGAAGGUCUUGGGAAUUAUUAAAGAGACUUGCCGAUUAUGAUCCCUAAGAAAAACUGAAUUGGUCACCGAAAAUAUUGAACCUAAUUGUUGAAAUGAAUGUGACAAGUGUUGGGUCGAACAAUCUUUUUGACAUUAUCCAGUCACUUGUGAAAUUAGAUGGAAACCAAUAUGCAUACUUCUUAAAACAAAAGAGAUGAAUUAUUAUCAGCUCACGAUAUCAUUUUGUUUGAUGUGAUACUAAAAUAAAAUGCAGAGAUGAAUUAUUAUCAUCUCACGAUAUCAUUUUGCUUGACGUGAUACUAAAAUAAAAUGCAUCACCAUUGUUGUUUGAUGGUGCAUUGCAUCACCAUGUCUAAUCCUUCGAGUCACUUUGUUAUCUAAGCUUAUACGUUUGAUAUAUCUCUACAUUGUUCUACAUGGCUGAAAGUGUCAUGCACUUCAGUUUACGUGAUAGUCAUGACAUUUAGGAACACCUGAUACGCUAAUUUAUUUCCCUAGUGGAUGAUACUUGCCUAA